rnacentral:rRNA from 1 species
ACUCCUACGGGAGGCAGCAGUGGGAAGUAUUACACAAUGGGCGACGAAGCCUAGAUGCAGCCCAUGCCGCGUGUGUGAAGAAGGCCUUCGGGUUGUAAAGCACUUUCAGUCGUGAGGAAGGUAGUGUAGUUAAUAGCUGCAUUAUUUGACGUUAGCGACAGAAGAAGCACCGGCUAACUCCGUGCCAGCAGCCGCGGUAAUACGGAGGGUGCGAGCGUUAAUCGGAAUUACUGGGCGUAAAGCGCAUGCAGGUGGUUUGUUAAGUCAGAUGUGAAAGCCCGGGCUCAAGCCU